rnacentral:rRNA from 1 species
AUGAACGCUAGCGGCAGGCUUAAUACAUGCAAGUCGUGGGCAGCAUGAGUAGCAAUACUUGAUGGCGACCGGCAAACGGGUGAGGAACACGUACACAACCUUCCUUCAAGCGGGGAAUAGCCCAGAGAAAUUUGGAUUAAUACCCCAUAAUAUAUUUGAUAAGGCAUCUUAUUAAUAUUAAAGCUUCGGCACUUGAUGAUGGGUGUGCGGCUGAUUAGAUAGUUGGCGGGUAACGGCCCACCAAGUCUACGAUCAGUAGCUGAUGUGAGAGCAUGAUCAGCCACACGGGCACUGAGACACGGGCCCGACUCCUACGGGAGGCAGCAGUAAGGAAUAUUGGACAAUGGACGAAAGUCUGAUCCAGCCAUGCCGCGUGAAGGAUUAAGGUCCUCUGGAUUGUAAACUUCUUUUAUAUGGGACGAAAAAAGGGCAUUCUUGUUCACUUGACGGUACCAUAUGAAUAAGCACCGGCUAACUCCGUG